rnacentral:misc_RNA from 1 species
UUUGGUUGAAUUGAUUGGUGAAAACCAAACAAUGGAAAUGGAAUAAAAAUAUCAGAGAUCACAUAUUAUCCCCCAAUCUAUUUAAAAAAAUAAUAGUCAUUAGAUCUGUACAAGAUGAUGGGAGGAAAAGCAAAUGUCCACAUACUUGCAAAUGCACACAUGCAAGCACACACAACACUGUUGAGUAUGACAUAACUUCAAAACCUCAAAACAUAUUUUUCAGA